AGCAAUAUGUCAGCGGCAGACGGGUGAGUAACGCGUGGGAAUCUACCCAACCCUACGGAAUAACGCAUGGAAACGUGUGCUAAUACCGUAUACGCCCCCCUUUAAAAUUCCAGGAAGAAUAAAAUGCCCUUGGCAUUUUAUGGGGGGGAAAGAUUUAUCGGGGAUGGAUGAGCCCGCGUUGGAUUAGCUAGUUGGUGGGGUAAAGGCCUACCAAGGCGACGAUCCAUAGCUGGGCUGAGAGGAUGAUCAGCCACAUUGGGACUGAGACACGGCCCAAACUCCUACGGGAGGCAGCAGUGGGGAAUAUUGGACAAUGGGCGCAAGCCUGAUCCAGCCAUGCCGCGUGAGUGAUGAAGGCCCUAGGGUUGUAAAGCUCUUUCACCGGAGAAGAUAAUGACGGUAUCCGGAGAAGAAGCCCCGGCUAACUUCGUGCCAGCAGCCGCGGUAAUAC
rnacentral:rRNA from 1 species